rnacentral:rRNA from 1 species
UACGAAGGGGGCUAGCGUUGCUCGGAAUCACUGGGCGUAAAGCGCACGUAGGCGGCUUCUUAAGUCAGGGGUGAAAUCCUGGAGCUCAACUCCAGAACUGCCUCUGAUACUGAGGAGCUCGAGUCCGGGAGAGGUGAGUGGAACUCCGAGUGUAGAGGUGAAAUUCGUAGAUAUCCGGAGGAACACCGGUGGCGAAGGCGGCUUCCUGGACCGACACUGACGCUGAGGCACGAAAGCGUGGGGAUCAAACAGG